UACGGAGAGUGCAAGCAUUAAUCGGAAUUAUUGGGCGUAAAGGGCGCGUAGGCGGAUCGAUAAGUCAGAUGUGAAAUUCCGAAGCUCAACUUCGGAGCUGCAUUUGAAACUAUCGAUCUAGAGGAUUGACGGAGAAAACGGAAUUCCACGUGUAGCGGUGAAUGCGUAGAUAUGUGGAAGAACACCGGUGGCGAAAGCGGUUUUCUAGUUUAUACCUGACGCUGAGGCGCGAGAGCAAGGGGAGCAAACAGG
rnacentral:rRNA from 1 species